rnacentral:rRNA from 1 species
CUCGUAGGCGGCCAACUAAGUCGGACGUGAAAUCCCCAGGCUCAACCUGGGAACUGCGUCCGAUACUGGAUGGCUUGAAUCCGGGAGAGGGAUGCAGAAUUCCAGGUGUAGCGGUGAAAUGCGUAGAUAUCUGGAGGAAUACCGGUGGCGAAGGCGGCAUCCUGGACCGGCAUUGACGCUGAGGAGCGAAAGCCAGGGGAGCGAAACG